GGAUGCGAGGGCAAUCUGGCUGGACAUCUGUCACCCUACUGAUCGCCAGAAUUGAUCCAGCUGAUCUGGUUGGCUAGGCAGGAGUCCUCAUCCUCCCUUACUGCUCCGGGAGCUUCUCUCUCAAAGAUGUGCAGUCUGUUGAAGAGGACGAACUUCCCCAAUAGAGGAGGACUGUUCUUCGGUCAAGGGUGUAGAGUAGCUAUGCUCCCUUUGUAGAACCCCCAAACAAGCUCUCGAUAAAUAGAUUAAGCAAAGAGAGAUACAUUUUGAGAAAUCUAUAACUUAGGGGAUUUUCUAA
rnacentral:snRNA from 1 species